GAGGUGGGGGUGGGGGGGCUCACAAUGCCAGUGUGUCAUUUGCCCUUGGGCACCGCAAUUCAAGGAGCCAUGGCCAAGCACCUCUGGGAAUGGGACAGGUAGGGUGGACAGAGGCCUGAGAGCCCAGCCAGCUCAGGCCAGCUCUGAGGCAGAGGCAGCAGUGGGGCUGGCCUGGUCUUACGGGCAGUCCUUCAGUGGUGUCACCGUGUUAGCCAGGAUGGUCUCGAUCUCCUGACAUUGUGAUCCGCUCGCCUCGGCCUCUCAAAGUGCUGGGAUUACAGGCACCCUCCUGCUGGGGUCCUCCGACCUCUGACUUGCCGAGUGACACCGUGACCCGAGAUGCACCCUUCGCCCUUGUCUUCAGGACACAACCAGAGAUGGAAUCCACAGGACACAGAACAAAAGGUGUACCAGAGCCAGGCUGGCAGUGACACUCGACAGGCCAGCCCAGCAGGUUUGUAUCCUGGUUAGGACAAUGGCACACCCAGCCUGGGGCCAGGUGGUGGCCAUAGACAGCGGGAUCCAGGCAAGGCCACCUUGCUCUGAGGGGGCAUCAGAGCAAUCGGGACCAUCCCACCAGAAUUCAGGAGAGGGGUCCCUCUUUUUGUGACAGCAGCACAGACAGCCUUGGAGUGAAGUGGAGCAGGUGGCAGGGCCCAGGGCUAGAGGGGAGAUACCGCACAGGCGGAAGCAGCCCUCCUUGGCGGGGCAGAGGCCUGAUGGGCACAGGCUGUGCAUCUGGCGCCUGCCUAAUCCCGGCCACUUCCUCCUUCAAGCCCUGAGGCAAACAAGAGUUCUCCAGAGCAAGGAGGGUGCAGGAAUGUCCACUGAACGGGACGGCUCAAACAGGCCAGAGCUGGAGAGGUGGGAGGGUGCUCGGCGGCGGCUGCAGGAACCCACGACAAUGGACAUGGGACCAGCAAGGGCAUCAGGCCAGAGCUGGAGAGGUGGGAGGGUGCUGGGCGGCCGCUGCAGGAGCCCAGGACCGUGGACAUGUGGGAACCAGCAAGGGCAUCUGGGGACAGCGGUGGGAGCACUGAAACCAGGCGCAGCUCACAGCCUGGGAAGGCGCUGCAGCAGGAGCGGGACUCGAGGCACCAGUUCAAAGGGCCUUUGUCCCCCGCGAGGACAGCGCCAUCGGGGUGGAACGUGUCUGGCCUGGAAACGGCACCUCUGGGACAGAGGCCCAGGUUUGAGCAGCAGAAGAGCCCAGAACUGGACCCUAGGGCCCUUGCUCAGUUUUGUGGCGUCUCCCUCUUCUAGUGCCAGUCUCUAGGACAGGACCUGGGCAGCCUGCACACGUGUGACCACACGUGUGAAGGACGUAGGGGCGACCUGCCUUUCUGAGGCACACCUGUGAAGCUGAGCCCUCCGGCCACCCUGCCUGAGUGUGGAGCAGGGGACAAGUGCCCAGUCCCUCUGGCCACCAGGGCACAGCCUUCGGCAGAGCCUCACUGCCAGAGAUGAGGCGUGUUGGCCUAGAGGUCAUUCGCCAGCCUCAGCAAUUCCAACCGAACCCACACAACGUCCCAACCUCGCCCGAGACCUCCUGGCCCAGCAUGUGGAGGUGGGCACAGGCUGAGCAGAGGGUGACCCCAGGGCUCCUUCUAAAGGCCAGAGGCGCAGGGAUGGAGCUGGAGGUCUGGCGGGUAGCAAGCACCAAGCCCUAGGCCGUGGCUGCCUGAGCCGUGGCCCGGGUGUGACGUGGACCUUCACGUGCCGCUCCCUGAGCACCCUGGGUGGGGGGCGGCCCAGGAUCCUCUCAGGAGGCUACAUUCCCAGUGCAGAUGUGUAGGCCUAGGUGGCCCCUCACCUGCUGCUGAGGAGCAGGCCCUGCCAGGCUGAGAGAGAGGCCCAGGCUAGAGGAGGAUCCUGGGGGGCCCCACAAAGCCACCAGGACAGAAAAGGAUGAUCUGACUUGCUUUAAUCUGCACACUGCGGGGGUGGGGGUGGGCAUGCUCCUCAGCAGUGCAUUCUGGGACACGGGCGGGCGGGGGCUGGCAUAGGAGGACGAGAGCACCUGCAGGGCAGCGCCUGGCGGGCGGGCGGGCGGGUGUGUCAGCUGCAGUUCUUGGGCAGGCGGUAGACACCGGCCGAGUAGACGAGCUGCUGGUCCCGCACCUUCUUCUGCAGGUAGCCCUGCAGCUCCUGCAGGUCAAUCUCGGCCAGUGCAGGCCCAGUCACCACAAACAUGCGGAGCAUGUUGUAGAUACGAUCCAGUGAGAGGCUCUCCAGGUUGGUCAGCAUGGCCUGGAUGUACGUCCAGAAGAGCUGCGGACACAGGCCAGCCCCCGUCAGGCACCUGCAGGCCUCGCCCCGCCCCCCGGCCCCCCGUGGGGCCUGCACACGCACCAGCAGCUCCUCCUCCUUCUGGUCGGCCUGGGAGGCCAUGCCGGAGUCGCUCUCGUCGUCACUGUCGAUGAGCACCAUGUUGUCCCGGUCCUGAGGCCGCUCCUCCUCAAUGACAGAGAAGGUGCCGGGGGGCUCCUCACGCAGCACACCCUGCUGCAGCCACACGGACAUCCGCCGCCGCAGCAGCGCCACGGGCAUCUUCACCGCCUUGCUCAGUUCCUCCAGGGUCCAGCUGGCUGCGUGCAGAGUCACCGGGACGCUGGGCAGCCUGGGCACAGGCUGCACCUCCCCUGCCUCCUGUCAGCCGAGAGGUCGGGGGGCUCCCAGGCCACCCUGCCUUGCCCGUGGGAAAGGGAAGGGUGCUGCCUGCUGGCGCAGCUGCCCCAAACCACACCCUCACUGGGGAACAGCCCCUCACCCACAGCUGGGCCGUGUGGCCGGGGCAGACCAGCUAGGGGCUGGUGGGCUCACCUUGGUCCUGAAAAUACAGCAAGAUCACCGCCUGUACCGGGGUGACCGCCACAGACAGCGUGCGGUCGGCCAGCUCCACAUCCAUGGUCACCAGGCCCAGGGUGUGCUUCCAACUGAGGGUCCGCAUGGCCUAAGGAGGGCUAGGGUCAGCACGGGCAGCUCGGCUGCAGGGGGCUCAGGCCCAUGGGCUCUGCCACCUGGUACCCAGUGAGAAAGGGGCUCCCAGAGCCACCUGCCCCACCCCACCCUGGCAGGCAGGUGAGCAGCGAGAGCACAGGACUGGGUGGGGUCCCCACCUGCUCAGCCACCAUGAAAGGGCAAUGGGGCCGGCAUCAUAAGGUGUGUCCCGAAAAGGCUACAGGGGCCUCCUGACCCCCAGUGCUUGGAAAUGUGGCCGUAUUUGCAAACAGGGUUGAUGCAGAUGUAACUGAGGUGUAUCCUAAUCCAACUGACUGGGGUCCUUCUAAGAAAAGGAAAGAUAGGAAGACACAGGCAGAUGGGGAGGGGGCCACACGAAGACAGAGACCACCUGGAGCAACGCGGCCACAAGCCAAGAAACACCAAGGGCUGUGGCAAACACCAGAAGCUGGGGGGCAACGGAGGUCUCUAAGAGGUUUCAGACGGAACGAGGCUGCCAAUACUUUCAUCUUGGACUUCCAGCCUCCAAAACUAAGGCAAUCUAUUUCUGUUUUUUAAGCCACCCAGUUUGUGACACUUUGUUACAGCAGCCACAAUAAAUGAACAGAUUUUGGUACCAGGAAGGGUGCUGCCGAAACCUAACACCAAGAACUGUGGCAGCAGCUUUGGAAGUGGGUGAUGGGGAGAGGCUGGAAGAACUGGUGAGGCCUGCACGACUGUUGGUAGAAAGGCAUGAAGACAAGCCUGGAAAUGGCUGGAAGAGGAGAGCUGCCGCCGUCUUGGAGAAUGCACACAGCAUCACAGACUGGAUGUCGGCAGCAAUGCCGACCCAACAGGUGCUUCCAGUGAGGUCUCAGAUGGAAAUGACUGUGCUACUGGGAACCGGAGGAGGCAGCACAGAGCUUGGCUGGCUGCUGCUCUGCUGUUGGGCGCGAAGUGGGACCUGCAGCUGAUGAGCCUGGACAUCAAGCUGAGAUUUCCAAGCAGUGUGGAAGGUGCCACCUGGCUUCUCCUUGCUACUUAUAGCAGAAUGCAAGAGGGAAACAAUCAGUGAGGCAGGGACCAUUAAGCAAAAAGGCACCAGCCCUUGGGGAUCUGAAAAAUGCUCUAUCCAGGCAGCUCUGAGACGUGGCCAAGGGUGUGGCUGGACCAGGGUUUGCUAGACAUGAGGUGUGACCUGUGUAUCCAACUAACCAUCUCAGCAGCAGACAGGGACAGGUGGGGCCUCCGGGAAAGGGCUGCGGACCCGCCUGUCUGAAGGCUUCGGCACUGGUGAGCUGCAUAAGCCAACAAGGUGUGAGAAUUUUACACCAGCAGAAGUGCUGCCGGGCUGGACUGAAAGGAAGGCAGGCUCCAAGAACAGAGCCGCCGAGGCCGAGGCUGACGGGGCGGGGCUGCCCCUGCAGGCCGAGGAUGGGGCCGGGGGCCAAAGAGGAUUCGCAGGCCUGGAAGUCAAGUGGAAUUUCGGCUGCUGGGUUUGGACUCGCUUGGGACCUGCCAACCUUUUUCCUCCCAGUUUUCCCUUUUGGGGUGGGAAUGUGUAUACUUGUCUUACGGCUGAACUUUUGAAACAGAUCAUCUGUUGGCUGAUUUCACGGCGUCCCAGCUGGAGGGAUGGCGCGCACUCCAGCCUCACCUGGACCUCGUUAAGAUGCAUUUACAGGCUGUGUGUGGAACUUUGUGUGGAUGGUAGUUAGAUGAGAUUUUGGAUUUGGAGUUGAUGCUGAAAUGGUGAAGACUUUUGGGGACACUGGGGCUGUCACUUGCAUGUGGGAGGGGCCCACCAUGGGGCAAAUUGUCAUGCACUGAAUUGUGCCCCUCGAAAAAUGACACAUGAACCCCUAACUCCCGGUGCCUCUGAUGGGAUCUUAUUUGGAAAUAACGGUCAUUAAAGAUAUAAUUAAGAUGACGUCACCCUGGAAUACAGAGUGUUCUUCUAAGAGGGAGACAGGAACAGAGACACGGGGGAACAUCACGGGCGACGCGGCAGAGACCAGAGCGAGGCACCCACAGGCCCCGGAGCUCCUGGAGCCCCCAGAAGCUGGAAGAGGGGAGGAAGCAGCCUCCCCUAGAGCCUUCGGAGGGCCCUGCUGACCCUGACUUUAGACUUCUGACUUCUGUAAAAUGAUACGUUUCUUUUAA